ensembl:lncRNA
AAGGAGGGGGAAGAGGAACUAGAAAGACGAGCACAGCGACAGCAGAAGUUCAACAGAAGUUUUCCACUGUAAGUGUUUUAUCACAUCUGAAUGGCUGCUGCUGAGUCUCUGAGAGCUUUUAUCAGCGAGCGGCUAACUGCUGCUGCUGCUGAAAUAUUGGGAGUGUUUGAACAAACUAUCGUCCAGUACGAGGGAGAGCUGGACCGUCAGCGCAAACUGCUGGAUCUGCUCCUGAAGCCUGAGAUCAAGCUACACAGAACAGAAGAUGGAGUCUGACAAUCCGGGGUGACCAGGGAAGGUCACGACAUUUUGGGGGCCCGUCCAGGAUAGAAGGUAAUUAUAUUUUUCUCAGAUCCGUCAAUUGAACACAGGGGUUGAUUACGAACAGACAGAGGACACGUGGCGCGCCAACAAUAAGGUGAGCAGACCAUUUAUAUCUGCAUUGACUACUCUAAAGUGUAACAUGUCCCGAGUCUUAGUAGUAAUCUGCCUGUAAAUUAUACGAACAUUGACUGAAACAAAAAAAAAAAGAGGUUAAAGAAUUCUUGUAAGAAUAAAGAUAAAGAAUAAGAGAAAGGAAAAGGAAAAAAGGGGUUGCAAAAUCCUGAGUGUGGCGACUCCACCGGUGCUCUGACGAGAGGCCGGAAAAGCUGGGUUUGAGUCCCGGGGCUUGAGGAACCCUAAAUCACUAAAAAAAGAGAGAGGAAAAGAACAACAGGCAAACACAUGGUAUGAAUGUUGGAAUGACUGGAAACUGAAACAACGACCACACUAGUUAGGCGGAAGUUGUAGUAAGUCUGCAGGCUUCCAAAUUACAGACGUAUAAGAUUCUGGUGUCGUGGAAGAGAGGCUAGUCUCAAAUCCACUGGACUUAGUACUAGGGACACAGCGUGCCAUAUUUCUCAGUCGGCCUGAAUCUAGACAGUGAAGAACACUGUUAUAACUGUGAGCCGUCUAAAAGAGAGACGGCAAGAACAGAUGAACUGUGAGUAGUCGGACCGGCUACAAGAACAGAGGAAAGUCCUGUAAGUUCAAAAGCACCCCUUACUGAGACACACAGCUGAGAGUGAAGCUGUAACACACACACAUACUGAGCGCUCAUAUUAUGGGUAAUGCAUGAAUGAGAAAUGUGGAUGAGUGCCAGGGACGUGUGAGCUGAAGCAGCAGCACUGCUGGAAACCUAACUGGUGCUAACGUAAAGCAGUGGUCUGUUGAAGUAGGUUCACUCACGAACUGGAUUAGUUUUUUCUUCUGAUGUGUACAUAGUUUGGUAGAGGACAUAGAAACAUUGUAACUGCAGUUUUGUAAAUUUGAACUUAAACUAUAGUUUUGUAAUUCCUACGUG